rnacentral:rRNA from 1 species
UACGGGGGGAGCAAGCGUUGUUCGGAUUUACUGGGCGUAAAGAGCGCGCAGGCGGUCGAUCAAGUCGCGUGUGAAAGCCCCCGGCUCAACUGGGGAGGGUCACGCGAUACUGAUCGACUCGAAGGCAGGAGAGGGUAGUGGAAUUCCCGGUGUAGUGGUGAAAUGCGUAGAUAUCGGGAGGAACACCAGUGGCGAAGGCGACUACCUGGCCUGUUCUUGACGCUGAGGCGCGAAAGCUAGGGGAGCAAACGGGG